rnacentral:rRNA from 1 species
UAAUACAUCGGAACGUGUCUUCUAGUGGGGGAUAACUGCCCGAAAGGGCAGCUAAUACCGCAUGAGACCUGAGGGUGAAAGCGGGGGAUCGCAAGACCUCGCGCUGGAAGAGCGGCCGAUGUCCGAUUAGCUAGUUGGUGAGGUAAAGGCUCACCAAGGCGACGAUCGGUAGCUAGUCUGAGAGGACGACCAGCCACACUGGGACUGAGACACGGCCCAG